rnacentral:rRNA from 1 species
GACGAACGCUGGCGGCGUGCUUAACACAUGCAAGUCGAACGGAAAGGCCCUGCUUUUGUGGGGUGCUCGAGUGGCGAACGGGUGAGUAACACGUGAGUAACCUGCCCUUGACUUUGGGAUAACUUCAGGAAACUGGGGCUAAUACCGGAUAGGAGCUCCUGCUGCAUGGUGGGGGUUGGAAAGUUUCGGCGGUUGGGGAUGGACUCGCGGCUUAUCAGCUUGUUGGUGGGGUAGUGGCUUACCAAGGCUUUGACGGGUAGCCGGCCUGAGAGGGUGACCGGCCACAUUGGGACUGAGAUACGGCCCAGACUCCUACGGGAGGCAGAAGUGGGGAGUAUUGCACAAUGGGCGGAAGCCUGAUGCAGCGGCGCCGCGUGCGGGAUGACGGCCUUCGGGUUGUAAACCGCUUUCGCCUGUGACGAAGCGUGAGUGACGGUAAUGGGUAAAGAAGCACCGGCUAACUACGUG